GACGAACGCUGGCGGCGGGCUUAACACAUGCAAGUCGAAGGGAAAGGGCCUGCUUUGGUUGGGUACUCGAGUGGCGAACGGGUGCGUAACACGUGAGUAACCUUCCCUUGAGUUUGGUACAACUUCAGGCACCUGGGGAUAAUACCGGAUAGGAGCUCCUGCUGCAUGGUGGGGAUUGGAAAGUUUCGGCGGUUGGUGAUGGACUCGCGGCUUAUGCGCUUGAUGGUGGGGUAGGUGCUUACCAAGGCUUUCACGGGUAGCCGGCCUGAGAGGGUGACCGGCCACCUUGCGACUGAGAUACGGCCCACACUACUACGGGAGGCAGCAGUGGGGAAGAUUGCCCAAUGGGCGGAAGCCUGGUGCAGCAACGCCGCGUUCGGGAUGACGGCCUUCGUGUUGUCGACCGCUUUCGCAUGUGACUAAGCGUGAUUGACGGUAACGGGUAAAGAAGCACCGGCUAACUACGUG
rnacentral:rRNA from 1 species